UACGUAGGGUGCAAGCGUUAAUCGGAAUUACUGGGCGUAAAGCGUGCGCAGGCGGUUUUGUAAGUCCGAUGUGAAAUCCCCGGGCUUAACCUGGGAACUGCGUUUGAAACUGGAAGGCUAGAGUGUGGCAGAGGGGGGUGGAAUUCCACGUGUAGCAGUGAAAUGCGUAGAUAUGUGGAGGAACACCGAUGGCGAAGGCAGCCCCCUGGGCUAACACUGACGCUCAUGCACGAAAGCGUGGGGAGCAAACAGG
rnacentral:rRNA from 1 species